CUGCCAUCUUCCCGAGACCAUUUCUACACUUCCGCCGUACAGUCUCUGUCAUUGGCUAGGGAGCUCUCGUUUCCGCCAACAGUAGGCGAUAUCUAAAGAAUGAAUGACCCGGGAGAGCCAUCAUGUGCAUAUUCCAGACCACUGGCACCCAGUAUCUCCAAGACCCCAGGCUUCAUGGAACGAGUGGCUUAUGAAGGACACCUGCACCCUAUCCUUGUUCUGACCAGUUCCUGGAUGCCUGAGAGGACAUGUGCACAGAGCACAAUCACCAGUAAAACCCCAGACUCCAAGAAAAGAUGAAACUUGUGGCCUUUUCCUUUCCAAGUCUCCUAGACGCCCAGUACGUAUCUCUCUAUCUUCAAUAAACUGCCAGCUCAUGUUUGAUUUGUAUCCUGCAUGAAGCCAAGGACCCUUUUGGCUGGGUCUGCAGACCCAGCCGGCCUGCAUCAGGAUCUCAGCCCACGCCUCCUCUCCUGAGUUUCCCUUUCUUUCAUGGGACUCAAAUCACCCACAUUUGCACAAGAAAGUAGGAUUUACCAACCCUGCCA